UUUAAUUUUGUAUUACUGAUAAGUGUUGCUCGCAUGGCUAAUAUGACCACGCGUACCUACAAUUAUACCAUAUAUCAUCUUUUAAAUCGGUUAUUGUAUACAAUGACAAACAUUAAAACAUACAGCAUUGGAACUUAAAUACAUUAUUGUUCUAUUCAAUUCCGCGUACUUGCAAUACUUUACUCGGCAUGAACACAUACGAGCCACCUGUACGCAUUUUGUGUAAAUGAUAUUAGUAACACUACUUCGAUACAUUCGAUAUAGGUUCAUGAAUAUUUUUCAUUCCUUCAACUACGUGUCGACAGUUUGUCGUGCAAAUUGCAGUAGGACAUAGUUAAGUCUAAGAAUAUGUUAUAGUAGGAAUCCGUAUCUUUUUGUUUUAAUGAACUAACUUUAACUUUUACACGAGAUUCAACACAUCAAUACCCAAACUAGGUGUUUAUUUCUUAAAUUACACAUUAAAGUUUUGGUAUUUCUCAGUUAUCAUUAAUCUGAAUGAAGAUUCCUCAUUUGCCUAUUCAUGUACAGAUAAUAAUACUUUGAAAAAACGCAGUAACAAACUGCAGUCAUUUAAUACAGAUCAUCCAAACAUGAAUUUUUUGCAAUAUGCAUGAUAUAUAUAUAAGACAUGCAUGUGUUCUAAUUAUAAUAGAUAUUUAUCUCAUUAAUUUACAGAUUGAACAAAAGUGCUAUAUUCUAAUUGUCAAACCAAACAGAAAUUUUAGAUCGAUAGGGUGAUUUAGUAUACUGUAUAAAUAUUGAUAAUGUUUGCCGACAUCAAUCUAUCGAAACAGUGUCAAAACGUUGUCAAAAUACAUGGUCUUAGAGAAAUAACGUUUGUACUUAUACAAUGAUUGCAUUGACAAAUAAUUGUGUGAUGUACAAUAUUACAUUUCCUGGUUUAUUUACGAGAUUUUAACAUCGAUAAACUACUGUCGCUUCAAAUCAUCAUACAAUGGUUACAAUUUCUACUUUUUCCGAGGAUUUCCUACCAGCUAGCUCAUGUGCAUACCAUAUACAAGAAGAAGAACAUAUACAUUUAUUCUCACGUCGUCAAAGAUAAUAUGGUGGCAGUUGGAUUUUGUCAAUUACACAUCAACCGGAAAUAAAUAGAUGACCAGGGCUCAUU